GGAAUAAUAAGUAAUCCUUCACAGAGGUAAGAACUCCAGACAUCAAAGUUACACAGCUAACAAGAGGAGAAGACUGAACCUCUUCAAGGGUCAGACAUGUAGUAAACAGCUCGGAAACACUUGCUGAAGAAGUCAGAAUGUUAGAGACAGAGGCUUAAAAAUACCGAUACACAGCACCCACCCAAGACCUACCGCAAGAGAAUAGCCUUGGUAACGUAUUCAUCUUUAUUAGUUCCAUAGAUUAUAUUAUUAUUAUAUGAUUCAAAUAUGAAUAAUUGGUAAUCUUAUUCAAGCAGUGCCAAGAACCAUGGUUUCAAGGGCAUGUCAUCCUGAACAGGCAAUUUCUUUUUCUGAUUUUGAAGCCAAAUGACAUGCACCUUGUUUCAUAAGCAUCAGGAUUACAGCGGAAAGAAUAAGGAAAAUGAUGGGUCCCUUUCCUCCCUUUCCACAAGGCCUUACAUCUGACAGUGAGGACAACAAAUCUUACGCAGCUGGAUUUGUCACAGCUAUUUGGUAACAAGUGACAGAACACCAACUCAGACUCAGGAAAGCAAAAAGAGC
rnacentral:lncRNA from 9 species